GCCUGGUUGGCUCAGCUGGUAGAGCAUGAGACUCUUGAUCUCAGGGUUGUGAGUUCAAUCCCCCUACUGGACA
rnacentral:tRNA from 1 species